AUUGAACGCUGGCGGCAGGCCUAACACAUGCAAGUCGAGCGGAUGAAGGGAGCUUGCUCCUGUAUUCAGCGGCGGACGGGUGUGUAAUGCCUAGGAAUCUGCCUGGUAGUGGGGUAUAACGUCCGGAAACGGGCGCUAAUACCGCAUACGUCCUGAGGGUGAAAGUGGGGGUUCUUCGGACCUCUCGCUAUCAGAUGUGCCUAGGUCGGAUUUGCUAGUUGGUUGGGUAAAGGCCUACCAAGGCGACGAUCCGUAACUGAUCUGAGAGGAUGAUCAGUCAAAGUGGAAGGGAGACACGGAACAGACUACUACGGGAGGGAGCAGAGGGGAAUAGUGGACAAUGGGGGAAAGGAUGAUCAAGCAAAGCCGAGUGUGUGAAGAAGGUCUUCGGAUUGUAAAGCAAUUUAAGUGGGGAGGAAGGGAAGUAAGUUAAUACGUUGAUGUUUUGACGUUACCAAAAGAAUAAGCACCGGCUAACUACGUG
rnacentral:rRNA from 1 species